ACUGUUUCAUCACACUGCCCCAGGAACAGUCUUUUAUCAACAGUUCUCGUGACAUGUCUUGUCUGUGAGGAAGUUGUAUUUGUUCUAGUGAUAACCAGAUUCAUUUGCUGAUACGUGCAUUCUUGCCAGGCCGCCCCACAGUUCUGCUCGUCUUCUCUUUCUUGAGAGAUCCGUUCUGCAUUAUCCCCUUCAUGUGUGCAGCAGCACAGAAAGUUGGACUCUAGAUAGCUGCUAUGUUUCUGGAAGGCCUGUAGACAACU